GUUCAUUCAGAUUCAAACACUGGAGCGGAGGGAGUUGCCAUGGAAACGGGGCGAUCGACUCGACAACACUGUCAAGGUGCAGCUCUGUUUCUCGCUGCUGUUUUCACUGUUUUCGAUUCUUCUAGUGCUUGAUGGCCUUCUGUAUCCCAUGAUGAGCAAACCUCCUGUCCAACAACAUUUCCAAGGUACAAUGAACCAUAUGACUAGCAGGUUUACCCCAAACAUACACUAAUGCUAUCCUUACCAAUUUCUGAAAUAAUACUACAAUUUAAAAUAGCAGUUUUCGGUGAAAUGUAAUUUAUUUCUGUGAUGUGCAGCUGUAUUUUCAGCAUCAUUACUCCAGUCUUCAUUGUCACAUGAUCUUCAGAAA